AGACCCGAAACCCGGUGAUCUAGCCAUGGGCAGGUUGAAGGUUGGGUAACACUAACUGGAGGACCGAACCGACUAAUGUUGAAAAAUUAGCGGAUGACCUGUGGCUGGGGGUGAAAGGCCAAUCAAACCGGGAGAUAGCUGGUUCUCCCCGAAAGCUAUUUAGGUAGCGCCUCGUGAAUUCAUCUCCGGGGGUAGAGCACUGUUUCGGCUAGGGGGCCAUCCCGGCUUACCAACCCGAUGCAAACUGCGAAUACCGGAGAAUGUUAUCACGGGAGACACACGGCGGGUGCUAACGUCCGUCGUGAAGAGGGAAACAACCCAGACCGCCAGCUAAGGUCCCAAAGUCAUGGUUAAGUGGGAAACGAUGUGGGAAGGCCCAGACAGCCAGGAUGUUGGCUUAGAAGCAGCCAUCAUUUAAAGAAAGCGUAAUAGCUCACUGGUCGAGUCGGCCUGCGCGGAAGAUGUAACGGGGCUAAACCAUGCACCGAAGCUGCGGCAGCGAACGUAUCACUUAAAGCGAUUCAGCGGGUUACGAUUGACGGAGCGAAGCGACGUCAAAGCGUAUACAAAGUCGAGUCGGUUUAAGGAUACGUUCGUUGGGUAGGGGAGCGUUCUGUAAGCCUGCGAAGGUGGCCUGUGAGGGUUGCUGGAGGUAUCAGAAGUGCGAAUGCUGACAUAAGUAACGAUAAAGCGGGUGAAAAGCCCGCUCGCCGGAAGACCAAGGGUUCCUGUCCAACGUUAAUCGGGG
rnacentral:rRNA from 1 species